CCCCUAGAUGCUCUGGGCCGCACGCGCGCUACACUGAACAGUUCAACAAGUCUUAACCUUGGCCGAUAGGUCUGGGUAAUCUUUGAACGCUGUUCGUGAUUGGGAUAGACCUUUGCAAUUAUGGGUCUUCAACGAGGAAUUCCUAGUAAACGCAAGUCAUCAGCUUGCAUUGAUUACGUCCCUGCCCUUUGUACACACCGCCCGUCGCACCUACCGAUUGAAUGGUCCGGUGAAAUCUCGGGACGGCGGCUUGGUCGCUUGCGUCCGACUGCUGAAACUUGAUUAAACCAUAUCAUUUAGAGGAAGGUGAANUCGUANCA
rnacentral:rRNA from 1 species